rnacentral:rRNA from 1 species
CCUACGGGGUGCACCAGUGGGGAAUAUUGGACAAUGGGGGGAACCCUGAUCCAGCCAUGCCGCGUGUGUGAAGAAGGCCUAUGGUUGUAAAGCACUUUAAGCGAGGAGGAGGCUACUAGUAUUAAUACUACUGGAUAGUGGACGUUACUCGCAGAAUAAGCACCGGCUAACUCUGUGCCAGCAGCCGCGGUAAUACAGAGGGUGCGAGCGUUAAUCGGAUUUACUGGGCGUAAAGCGUGCGUAGGCGGCCAUUUAAGUCAAAUGUGAAAUCCCCGAGCUUAACUUGGGAAUUGCAUUCGAUACUGGAUGGCUAGAGUAUGGGAGAGGAUGGUAGAAUUCCAGGUGUAGCGGUGAAAUGCGUAGAGAUCUGGAGGAAUACCGGUGGCGAAGGCGGCCCCCUGGACAAAGACUGACGCUCAGGUGCGAAAGCGUGGGGAGCAAACAGGAUUAGAUACCCCCGUAGUC